rnacentral:rRNA from 1 species
GGGUUGUGAGGUUAAGCGACUAAGCGUACACGGUGGAUGCCCUGGCAGUCAGAGGCGAUGAAGGGCGUGCUAAUCUGCGAUAAGCGCCGGUAAGGUGAUAUGAACCGUUAUAACCGGCGAUACCCGAAUGGGGAAACCCAGUGUGAUUCGUCACACUAUCAUUAACUGAAUCCAUAGGUUAAUGAGGCGAACCGGGGGAACUGAAACAUCUAAGUACCCCGAGGAAAAGAAAUCAACCGAGAUUCCCCCAGUAGCGGCGAGCGAACGGGGAGGAGCCCAGAGCCUGAAUCAGCAUGUGUGUUAGUGGAAGCGUCUGGAAAGGCGCGCGAUACAGGGUGACAGCCCCGUACACAAAAGCGCAUGUGCUGUGAGCUCGAUGAGUAGGGCGGGACACGUGGUAUCCUGUCUGAAUAUGGGGGGACCAUCCUCCAAGGCUAAAUACUCCUGACUGACCGAUAGUGAACCAGUACCGUGAGGGAAAGGCGAAAAGAACCCCGGCGAGGGGAGUGAAAAAGAACCUGAAACCGUGUACGUACAAGCAGUGGGAGCACCCUGUGUGACUGCGUACCUUUUGUAUAAUGGGUCAGCGACUUAUAUUCUGUAGCAAGGUUAACCGAAUAGGGGAGCCGGAGGGAAACCGAGUCUUAACCGGGCGUUAAGUUGCAGGGUAUAGACCCGAAACCCGGUGAUCUAGCCAUGGGCAGGUUGAAGGUUGGGUAACACUAACUGGAGGACCGAACCGACUAAUGUUGAAAAAUUAGCGGAUGACCUGUGGCUGGGGGUGAAAGGCCAAUCAAACCGGGAGAUAGCUGGUUCUCCCCGAAAGCUAUUUAGGUAGCGCCUCGUGAAUUCAUCUCCGGGGGUAGAGCACUGUUUCGGCUAGGGGGCCAUCCCGGCUUACCAACCCGAUGCAAACUGCGAAUACCGGAGAAUGUUAUCACGGGAGACACACGGCGGGUGCUAACGUCCGUCGUGAAGAGGGAAACAACCCAGACCGCCAGCUAAGGUCCCAAAGUCAUGGUUAAGUGGGAAACGAUGUGGGAAGGCCCAGACAGCCAGGAUGUUGGCUUAGAAGCAGCCAUCAUUUAAAGAAAGCGUAAUAGCUCACUGGUCGAGUCGGCCUGCGCGGAAGAUGUAACGGGGCUAAACCAUGCACCGAAGCUGCGGCAGCGACACUGAUGUGUUGUUGGGUAGGGGAGCGUUCUGUAAGCCUGUGAAGGUGGCCUGUGAGGGUUGCUGGAGGUAUCAGAAGUGCGAAUGCUGACAUAAGUAACGAUAAAGCGGGUGAAAAGCCCGCUCGCCGGAAGACCAAGGGUUCCUGUCCAACGUUAAUCGGGGCAGGGUGAGUCGACCCCUAAGGCGAGGCCGAAAGGCGUAGUCGAUGGGAAACGGGUUAAUAUUCCCGUACUUGGUGUUACUGCGAAGGGGGGACGGAGAAGGCUAUGUUGGCCGGGCGACGGUUGUCCCGGUUUAAGCGUGUAGGUGUGUGUUCCAGGUAAAUCCGGUUCACUUUAACACUGAGGCGUGACGACGAGGCACUACGGUGCUGAAGCAACAAAUGCCCUGCUUCCAGGAAAAGCCUCUAAGCAUCAGGUAACAUCAAAUCGUACCCCAAACCGACACAGGUGGUCAGGUAGAGAAUACCAAGGCGCUUGAGAGAACUCGGGUGAAGGAACUAGGCAAAAUGGUGCCGUAACUUCGGGAGAAGGCACGCUGACACGUAGGUGAAGUGAUUUACUCAUGGAGCUGAAGUCAGUCGAAGAUACCAGCUGGCUGCAACUGUUUAUUAAAAACACAGCACUGUGCAAACACGAAAGUGGACGUAUACGGUGUGACGCCUGCCCGGUGCCGGAAGGUUAAUUGAUGGGGUCAGCGCAAG